CCUGGUGUCUAUGGCACAGUAGAACCACACUGAAACCAUCCCGAACUCAGAGGUGAAAUGCUGUUGCGGCGACGAUAGUUGCCGGGUUGCCGGCCGUCAAAAUAGCUCGAUGCCAGGU
rfam:Richelia intracellularis HM01, WGS project CAIS01000000 data, contig: 00001